rnacentral:lncRNA from 1 species
GUGCUACAGUAGAGCUCAUUUUUCUCUCUCAAGCUUCUGGUGUUUUUCCCUUGACAACAUUAAUCCUCAUGAAUGGCAGCAGCAGCGGCGCCUGUAGGAUAGGUCCCCCUGCAGCACAGGACGAUAAAUUGUGGAGGAUAAAUCGACUGUACAGAAGCGUAGAUGAAGAGCGAAAUGUUCCGUUUCUUUCGCGCAUCCAGAACUGUGCUUCAUAGGCUGAGAAAACGUCUUAGAUAAAUAAACUCCGUGAGGCUGGGGUUUAAAAGCAGGAAGCAGCUGAACGCGGAAACUGCCUAUUGGACUAUCAUCUGUUUAAACACCGAGAAGGAUCCUGCGAAAUCUAAAGUAAAUACAAAGGCGCAUUUGAGCAAUCUUUAAAAGAGGCUUAAAACAAACCCUAUUUAAUCCUUUUAAAUGGUGCAUCUCCCCCAGCGGAAACAGAACAUGCCAAUUAGUUGAACAUCCUGACAAACAAAAUCUCUCAGGGCUGCACAGUGAAGGGAGACAGGUGCAUCCACUUAGUGAGGUCUUUUAAGGGGAAGCCAGCUGCAUUUCUGAACAUCUACAUGGCAUAACAAAAUGAAGACAGCAUACUUGAAAGGGAGGUAAUGGCGGUGAGUGCCCAAGAGCCAGGAAAAUGAGAAGGAGAAAGGGCAGCACCUGCUGCUGCUGCUGCUGCUCUGGGAAACCUUGCAGACUCAGUUUCUCCUAAGAUGUGGGGAGAAAAGCUGGGAGAGGCACGCAUCCCGCCUGACUCGGAAGACUGGGUGGCCGCAUCCCUCGCGUGGGCAUCAAGAGGCUGCAGCCCCUCUGCUGUGACUUCCUAGCAGUUCUUGGACUUUGGUGCCAAGGAAUCCUAACGAAGCAAAUAUUCCAUUAAACAACAACGACGUCAUGGUGAAAGACUAUUACAGAUUCAACCAGGCGGACGUGUCGGGCGUCACAUAAGGGUUAGAUGUAGGAAAUUUCACAGUGAGUCCUGAGCUUCCCCACGAGGUCGAUAUUCGUGGCUUUGACAACAUGUUUAGACUCAAGCAUCACAGGAAACGAG